GAUGAACGCUGGCGGCGUGCCUAAUACAUGCAAGUCGAGCGAACAGACGAGGAGCUUGCUCCUCUGACGUUAGCGGCGGACGGGUGAGUAACACGUGGAUAACCUACUUAUAAGACUGGGAUAACUUCGGGAAACCGGAGCUAAUACCGGAUAAUAUAUUGAACCGCAUGGUUAAAUAUUGAAAGACGGUUUUGCUGUCACUUAUAGAUGGAUCCGCGCCGCAUUAGCUAGUUGGUAAGGUAACGGCUUACCAAGGCAACGAUGCGUAGCCGACCUGAGAGGGUGAUCGGCCACACUGGAACUGAGACACGGUCCAGACUCCUACGGGAGGCAGCAGUAGGGAAUCUUCCGCAAUGGGCGAAAGCUUGACGGAGCAACGCCGCGUGAGUGAUGAAGGUCUUCGGAUCGUAAAACUCUGUUAUUAGGGAAGAACAAAUGUGUAAGUAACUAUGCACGUCUUGACGGUACCUAAUCAGAAAGCCACGGCUAACUACGUG
rnacentral:rRNA from 1 species